rnacentral:tRNA from 1 species
CGUUGAUGCUCGUCGGUGGGAACGUGUCGGCCUACGAAGCCGGCGAAGUCUGGUUCCACCUGGACCAACGCGUCGGACUCGCGCUGUCGAUGG